UACGGGGGGGCAAGCGUUGUUCGGAAUUACUGGGCGUAAAGGGCUCGUAGGCGGCCAACUAAGUCGGACGUGAAAUCCCUCGGCUUAACCGGGGAACUGCGUCCGAUACUGGAUGGCUUGAGUAUGGGAGAGGGAUGCGGAAUUCCAGGUGUAGCGGUGAAAUGCGUAGAUAUUGGGAGGAACACCAGUGGCGAAGGCGGCUACCUGGACCGGUACUGACGCUGAUGCGCGAAAGCGUGGGUAGCAAACAGG
rnacentral:rRNA from 1 species